rnacentral:rRNA from 1 species
CGCAGCCGCGGUAAUUCCAGCUCCAAUAGCGUAUAUUAAAGUUGUUGCAGUUAAAAAGCUCGUAGUUGAAUUUCGGGAUUAGUAUGCUGGUCAUGCCUUUGGUAUGUACUGGUGUUACUGAUUUCUACCUUUUUGAAGAACCGUUAUGUCAUUCAUUUGGUGUGGCGGGGAAUCAGGACUGUUACCUUGAAAAAAUUAGAGUGUUUAAAGCAGGCUCGCGCUUGAAUACAUUAGCAUGGAAUAAUGAAAUAGGACGUUGAUCCUAUUUUGUUGGUUUCUAGGAUUGACGUAAUGAUUAAUAGGGAUAGUUGGGGGCAUUAGUAUUCAAUUGUCAGAGGUGAAAUUCUUGGAUUUUAUUGAAGACUAACUACUGCGAAAGCAUUUGCCAAGGAUGUUUUCAUUAAUCAAGAACGAAAGUUAGGGGAUCGAAGACGAUCAGAUACCGUCGUAGUCUUAACCAUAAACUAUGCCGACUAGGGAUCGGAUGAUGUUAAUUUUUAAUGUACUCAUUCGCGCCGUU